UACGGAGGGUGCGAGCGUUGUCCGGAAUCACUGGGCGUAAAGGGCGCGUAGGCGGUCCGGUAAGCGUGUGGUGAAAGCCCGGGGCUCAACCCCGGGUCGGCCGUGCGAACUGCGGGACUGGAGCACUGUAGAGGCAGGCGGAAUUCCGGGUGUAGCGAUGGAAUGCGUAGAGAUCCGGAAGAACACCGGUGGCGAAGGCGGCCUGCUGGGCAGUAGCUGACGCUGAGGCGCGAAAGCGUGGGGAGCAAAC
rnacentral:rRNA from 1 species